GGUUUCUUUCAGUUGCAUGCAUGCGUCUCAACAAAUCUCAGUUUGACAGAUUAACACGAUUGCAUCUCACACGUGGAGAUCAGAUAGAAAGAAAAUCAAAGUCUAAAAGGUAGGUGUUGGAAAGAAUUCGACGGAGAUAGGGAGAGUCAAAUCCAGAGUUUGUGAGAAGAAGAGUUCAAUUGAUCAAAUUCAAUUUAAAGUCCAAUAAUGUGGCUUGAUUAUGGCUGUUAGUCACGGCUUAGUUCUGCUUU